CUCCUACGGGAGGCAGCAGUGGGGAAUUUUGGACAAUGGGGGCAACCCUGAUCCAGCAAUGCCGCGUGUGUGAAGAAGGCCUUCGGGUUGUAAAGCACUUUUGUCAGGAACGAAACGGGUUGGGCUAAUAUCCUGAUCUAAUGACGGUACCUGAAGAAUAAGCACCGGCUAACUACGUGCCAGCAGCCGCGGUAAUAC
rnacentral:rRNA from 1 species